AUUGAACGCUGGCGGCAUGCUUUACACAUGCAAGUCGAACGGUAACAGGCCGCAAGGUGCUGACGAGUGGCGAACGGGUGAGUAAUGCAUCGGAACGUGCCCAGUCGUGGGGGAUAACUACUCGAAAGAGUAGCUAAUACCGCAUACGAUCUAUGGAUGAAAGCGGGGGACCGUAAGGCCUCGCGCGAUUGGAGCGGCCGAUGUCAGAUUAGGUAGUUGGUGGGGUAAAGGCUCACCAAGCCAACGAUCUGUAGCUGGUCUGAGAGGACGACCAGCCACACUGGGACUGAGACACGGCCCAGACUCCUACGGGAGGCAGCAGUGGGGAAUUUUGGACAAAGGGCGCAGGCCUGAUCCAGCAAUGCCGCGUGCAGGAAGAAGGCCUUCGGGUUGUAAACUGCUUUUGUACGGAACGAAACGGCUCUGGUUAAUACCCGGGGCUAAUGACGGUACCGUAAGAAUAAGCACCGGCUAACUACGUG
rnacentral:rRNA from 1 species